UUAAGCGACUAAGCGUACACGGUGGAUGCCCUGGCAGUCAGAGGCGAUGAAGGACGUGCUAAUCUGCGAUAAGCGUCGGUAAGGUGAUAUGAACCGUUAUAACCGGCGAUUUCCGAAUGGGGAAACCCAGUGUGUUUCGACACACUAUCAUUAACUGAAUCCAUAGGUUAAUGAGGCGAACCGGGGGAACUGAAACAUCUAAGUACCCCGAGGAAAAGAAAUCAACCGAGAUUCCCCCAGUAGCGGCGAGCGAACGGGGAGCAGCCCAGAGCCUGAAUCAGUAUGUGUGUUAGUGGAAGCGUCUGGAAAGGCGCGCGAUACAGGGUGACAGCCCCGUACACAAAAAUGCACAUGCUGUGAGCUCGAUGAGUAGGGCGGGACACGUGGUAUCCUGUCUGAAUAUGGGGGGACCAUCCUCCAAGGCUAAAUACUCCUGACUGACCGAUAGUGAACCAGUACCGUGAGGGAAAGGCGAAAAGAACCCCGGCGAGGGGAGUGAAAAAGAACCUGAAACCGUGUACGUACAAGCAGUGGGAGCACGCUUAGGCGUGUGACUGCGUACCUUUUGUAUAAUGGGUCAGCGACUUAUAUUCUGUAGCAAGGUUAACCGAAUAGGGGAGCCGAAGGGAAACCGAGUCUUAACUGGGCGUUAAGUUGCAGGGUAUAGACCCGAAACCCGGUGAUCUAGCCAUGGGCAGGUUGAAGGUUGGGUAACACUAACUGGAGGACCGAACCGACUAAUGUUGAAAAAUUAGCGGAUGACUUGUGGCUGGGGGUGAAAGGCCAAUCAAACCGGGAGAUAGCUGGUUCUCCCCGAAAGCUAUUUAGGUAGCGCCUCGUGAAUUCAUCUCCGGGGGUAGAGCACUGUUUCGGCAAGGGGGUCAUCCCGACUUACCAACCCGAUGCAAACUGCGAAUACCGGAGAAUGUUAUCACGGGAGACACACGGCGGGUGCUAACGUCCGUCGUGAAGAGGGAAACAACCCAGACCGCCAGCUAAGGUCCCAAAGUCAUGGUUAAGUGGGAAACGAUGUGGGAAGGCCCAGACAGCCAGGAUGUUGGCUUAGAAGCAGCCAUCAUUUAAAGAAAGCGUAAUAGCUCACUGGUCGAGUCGGCCUGCGCGGAAGAUGUAACGGGGCUAAACCAUGCACCGAAGCUGCGGCAGCGACGCUUAUGCGUUGUUGGGUAGGGGAGCGUUCUGUAAGCCUGCGAAGGUGUGCUGUGAGGCAUGCUGGAGGUAUCAGAAGUGCGAAUGCUGACAUAAGUAACGAUAAAGCGGGUGAAAAGCCCGCUCGCCGGAAGACCAAGGGUUCCUGUCCAACGUUAAUCGGGGCAGGGUGAGUCGACCCCUAAGGCGAGGCCGAAAGGCGUAGUCGAUGGGAAACAGGUUAAUAUUCCUGUACUUGGUGUUACUGCGAAGGGGGGACGGAGAAGGCUAUGUUGGCCGGGCGACGGUUGUCCCGGUUUAAGCGUGUAGGCUGGUUUUCCAGGCAAAUCCGGAAAAUCAAGGCUGAGGCGUGAUGACGAGGCACUACGGUGCUGAAGCAACAAAUGCCCUGCUUCCAGGAAAAGCCUCUAAGCAUCAGGUAACAUCAAAUCGUACCCCAAACCGACACAGGUGGUCAGGUAGAGAAUACCAAGGCGCUUGAGAGAACUCGGGUGAAGGAACUAGGCAAAAUGGUGCCGUAACUUCGGGAGAAGGCACGCUGAUAUGUAGGUGAAGUCCCUCGCGGAUGGAGCUGAAAUCAGUCGAAGAUACCAGCUGGCUGCAACUGUUUAUUAAAAACACAGCACUGUGCAAACACGAAAGUGGACGUAUACGGUGUGACGCCUGCCCGGUGCCGGAAGGUUAAUUGAUGGGGUCAGCGCAAGCGAAGCUCUUGAUCGAAGCCCCGGUAAACGGCGGCCGUAACUAUAACGGUCCUAAGGUAGCGAAAUUCCUUGUCGGGUAAGUUCCGACCUGCACGAAUGGCGUAAUGAUGGCCAGGCUGUCUCCACCCGAGACUCAGUGAAAUUGAACUCGCUGUGAAGAUGCAGUGUACCCGCGGCAAGACGGAAAGACCCCGUGAACCUUUACUAUAGCUUGACACUGAACAUUGAGCCUUGAUGUGUAGGAUAGGUGGGAGGCUUUGAAGUGUGGACGCCAGUCUGCAUGGAGCCGACCUUGAAAUACCACCCUUUAAUGUUUGAUGUUCUAACGUUGACCCGUAAUCCGGGUUGCGGACAGUGUCUGGUGGGUAGUUUGACUGGGGCGGUCUCCUCCUAAAGAGUAACGGAGGAGCACGAAGGUUGGCUAAUCCUGGUCGGACAUCAGGAGGUUAGUGCAAUGGCAUAAGCCAGCUUGACUGCGAGCGUGACGGCGCGAGCAGGUGCGAAAGCAGGUCAUAGUGAUCCGGUGGUUCUGAAUGGAAGGGCCAUCGCUCAACGGAUAAAAGGUACUCCGGGGAUAACAGGCUGAUACCGCCCAAGAGUUCAUAUCGACGGCGGUGUUUGGCACCUCGAUGUCGGCUCAUCACAUCCUGGGGCUGAAGUAGGUCCCAAGGGUAUGGCUGUUCGCCAUUUAAAGUGGUACGCGAGCUGGGUUUAGAACGUCGUGAGACAGUUCGGUCCCUAUCUGCCGUGGGCGCUGGAGAACUGAGGGGGGCUGCUCCUAGUACGAGAGGACCGGAGUGGACGCAUCACUGGUGUUCGGGUUGUCAUGCCAAUGGCACUGCCCGGUAGCUAAAUGCGGAAGAGAUAAGUGCUGAAAGCAUCUAAGCACGAAACUUGCCCCGAGAUGAGUUCUCCCUGACUCCUUGAGAGUCCUGAAGGAACGUUGAAGACGACGACGUUGAUAGGCCGGGUGUGUAAGCGCAGCGAUGCGUUGAGCUAACCGGUACUAAUGAACCGUGAGGCUUAACCUU
rnacentral:rRNA from 1 species